UGUGCCAGCAGCCGCGGUAAUACAGAGGGUGCAAGCGUUAAUCGGAUUUACUGGGCGUAAAGCGUGCGUAGGCGGCUAUUUAAGUCGGAUGUGAAAGCCCUGGGCUCAACCUGGGAACUGCAUUCGAUACUGGGUAGCUAGAGAUCGGUAGAGGGCGGCGGAAUUCCGGGUGUAGCGGUGAAAUGCGUAGAUAUCCGGAGGAACACCGAUGGCGAAGGCAACCGCCUGGGCCUGAUCUGACGCUGAGGCACGAAAGCGU
rnacentral:rRNA from 1 species